GCGGAGGAAAAGAAACCAACAGGGAUUGCCCCAGUAACGGCGAGUGAAGCGGCAAAAGCUCAAAUUUGAAAUCUGGCUCCUUUCGGGGUCCGAGUUGUAAUUUGAAGAGGAUGCUUUGGGUGCGUCCGCGGCGUAAGUCCCUUGGAACAGGGCGUCAUAGAGGGUGAGAAUCCCGUCUUGAGUCGCCGGCGCGCGCCCGUUUAAAGCUCCUUCGACGAGUCGAGUUGUUUGGGAAUGCAGCUCUAAGUGGGUGGUAAAUUUCAUCUAAAGCUAAAUAUUGGCCGGAGACCGAUAGCGAACAAGUAGAGUGAUCGAAAGGUUAAAAGCACCUUGAAAAGGGAGUUAAAUAGCACGUGAAAUUGUUGAAAGGGAAGCGCUUGCAGCCAGACUCGGGUUCGGAGGCUCAGCGGGUAUUGUUAUGCCCGUGCACUCCUCCGCACCCGGGCCAGCAUCAGUUUUGGCGGCCGGUCAAAGGCCCCCGGAAUGUGUCGUCCUCCGGGACGUCUUAUAGCCGGGGGUGCAAUGCGGCCAGCCGGGACUGAGGAACGCGCUUCGGCACGGAUGCUGGCGUAAUGGCUGUAAGCGGCCCGUCUUGAAACACGGACCAAGGAGUCUAACAUCCACGCGAGUGUUCGGGUGUCAAACCCGUACGCGCAGUGAAAGCGAACGGAGGUGAGAGCCCCUUCGGGGGCGCAUCAUCGACCGAUCCUGAAGUCUUCGGAUGGAUUUGAGUAAGAGCGUGGCUGUUGGGACCCGAAAGAUGGUGAACUAUGCCUGAAUAGGGUGAAGCCAGGAGAAAUUCUGGUGGAGGCUCGCAGCGGUUCUGACGUGCAAAUCGAUCGUCAAAUUUGGGUAUAGGGGCGAAAGACUAAUCGAACC
rnacentral:misc_RNA from 1 species